AGAGUUUGAUCCUGGCUCAGAUUGAACGCUGGCGGCAGGCCUAACACAUGCAAGUCGAGCGGAUCAGAAGAGCUUGGUCUUUGAUUCAGCGGCGGACGGGUGAGUAAUACCUAGGAAUCUGCCUGGUAGUGGGGGACAACGUUUCGAAAGGAACGCUAAUACCGCAUACGUCCUACGGGAGAAAGCAGGGGACCUUCGGGCCUUGCGCUAUCAGAUGAGCCUAGGUCGGAUUAGCUAGUUGGUGRGGUAAUGGCUCACCAAGGCUACGAUCCGUAACUGGUCUGAGAGGAUGAUCAGUCACACUGGAACUGAGACACGGUCCAGACUCCUACGGGAGGCAGCAGUGGGGAAUAUUGGACAAUGGGCGAAAGCCUGAUCCAGCCAUGCCGCGUGUGUGAAGAAGGUCUUCGGAUUGUAAAGCACUUUAAGUUGGGAGGAAGGGCAGUAAGCGAAUACCUUGCUGUUUUGACGUUACCGACAGAAUAAGCACCGGCUAACUCUGUGCCAGCAGCCGCGGUAAUAC
rnacentral:rRNA from 1 species